rnacentral:tRNA from 1 species
AGGAGUGUAGCUUAAUUGGCAAAGCAGCGGUUUCCAAAACCGAAGACUGGGGGUUCGAGUCCCUCCACUCCUG